CGGAUUCAUUGGCAGAACAUCUAUUAAACAACCGCGCGCGUACAGAUUUCGUGUAUUCAUAUGCGAAUGGAGGCGGAACGUAUCGAUGGUGUUUCGUUAAAAAUCCGUAUACCGCACUAAAAAAUUAGAAAAACACGUUUUUGGUUACAGAAAAUUUAGGAACGUGAACGGGUAAAAGACGGUGUUUUUAAAUGCAGACAAUUAUGUCGGCAAUGUCGACAAGAAAAUGUUAUC